CGGGAGGCCUGGGGUGGCCCCAAAAGUGCCCCACCUGUCCCCGCAGGGGCCUCCGAAUCCGUGGUUCCGGGCCACCCUCCAACAGCAUCCAGGCGCCUCUCCCCCCUUCCCCCCAGCCUCGCCCCUGACCCCAAACAGCCUCGCUUGUAAACUCUACCCGGAAAAAACCUGAAAGAUGGAGAAAGUUGCUUGUCUCUUGUUAAACCGGGAGAAGUGGGGUGACAGCUCUCACGGAGCCGCCCUUAGGGAGCCCCCUGAUGGAGGAGCGCGGUCUCCGGUGAAGGUGGUCACCGCUGCCUUGCACUCAGGAGAAAGAACAGGGAGUCCAAGAUCGGUCCGCUAACUGGGCCGCUUCACCCUUGAAGUCCGCUGACUGGCGCACCCAGGGGAUUCGGGGAAAAGGCAGCUGAGAUUAAUACAUUCAAGUGCACACUCUGCGAGGUGAAUUUUGAUCGCCACUUCAAACUAAAGAGCUAACUAGA